AGUAAUGGCAGGUCAGCAUACUGCCGUGAAUACGUUCCCGGGCCUUGUACACACCGCCCGUCACACCAUGAGAGUUGGAAAUACCCGAAGCCUGUGAGCUAACAGUAAUGAGGCGGCAGUCGAAGGUAGAGCCAAUGAUUGGGGUGAAGUCGUAACAAGGUACC
rnacentral:rRNA from 1 species